rnacentral:lncRNA from 1 species
AAGUCAGAGCGAUGUGCUGUGAAAUCUACUACCGUUUGCUGGUUUUGAAAAUGGAGAAAAAGAGUGAGGAACUGAGAAACAUGGAUGGCCUUGGGAACGUGGAAAAGGGUCACUGAAAUGGGACGACAUGAACUCAAGGAGGCUAUUUAUGACCAUGUCAUUUGCAACAUGAAGAAAGCUUAUCUGGAGUGAAAGUAAAUGAGACCAACAGAGAUGAGAGACCCGGAGAAAUCCUGGUUACACUGCUUGAAUCCUACACAUACUAACAAAAGGCCACAUGAGGACACAGUGAGAAGCUGGAAGUCUACAACCCAGAAGAGAGCCCUCAACAGAACCUAACCAUGCUGGUACCCUGAUCUCAGACAUCCAGCCUCCAGAAGAGUGAAAAAAUAUAAUUCUUAUUUCUAAGCA